UAGUUGGUAAGGUAACGGCUUACCAAGGCGACGAUCAGUAGCCGACCUGAGAGGGUGAUCGGCCACAUUGGAACUGAGACACGGUCCAAACUCCUACGGGAGGCAGCAGUGGGGAAUAUUGCACAAUGGGCGAAAGCCUGAUGCAGCAACGCCGCGUGAGUGAUGAAGGCCGUCGGGUCGUAAAACUCUGUCCUCAAGGAAGAUAAUGACGGUACUUGAGGAGGAAGCCCCGGCUAACUACGUGCCAGCAGCCGCGGUAAUACGUAGGGGGCUAGCGUUAUCCGGAUUUACUGGGCGUAAAGGGUGCGUAGGCGGUCUUUCAAGUCAGGAGUGAAAGGCUACGGCUCAACCGUAGUAAGCUCUUGAAACUGGGAGACUUGAGUGCAGGAGAGGAGAGUGGAAUUCCUAGUGUAGCGGUGAAAUGCGUAGAUAUUAGGAGGAACACCAGUUGCGAAGGCGGCUCUCUGGACUGUAACUGACGCUGAGGCACGAAAGCGUGGGGAGCAAACAGGAUUAGAUACCCUG
rnacentral:rRNA from 1 species